rnacentral:rRNA from 1 species
GAGUUUGAACCUGGCUCAGGAUGAACGCUGGCGGCGUGCCUAAUACAUGCAAGUCGAACGAAACUUCUUUAUCACCGAGUGCUUGCACUCACCGAUAAAGAGUUGAGUGGCGAACGGGUGAGUAACACGUGGGCAACCUGCCCAAAAGAGGGGGAUAACACUUGGAAACAGGUGCUAAUACCGCAUAACCAUAGUUACCGCAUGGUAACUAUGUAAAAGGUGGCUAUGCUACCGCUUUUGGAUGGGCCCGCGGCGCAUUAGCUAGUUGGUGGGGUAAAGGCUUACCAAGGCAAUGAUGCGUAGCCGAACUGAGAGGUUGAUCGGCCACAUUGGGACUGAGACACGGCCCAAACUCCUACGGGAGGCAGCAGUAGGGAAUCUUCCACAAUGGGCGAAAGCCUGAUGGAGCAACGUCGCGUGGGUGAAGAAGGUCUUCGGAUCGUAAAACCCUGUUGUUAGAGAAGAAAGUGCGUGAGAGUAACUGUUC